UACGUAGGGUGCGAGCGUUGUCCGGAAUUAUUGGGCGUAAAGGGCUCGUAGGCGGUUUGUCGCGUCUGCCGUGAAAGUCCGGGGCUCAACUCCGGAUCUGCGGUGGGUACGGGCAGACUAGAGUGAUGUAGGGGGAGACUGGAAUUCCUGGUGUAGCGGUGAAAUGCGCAGAUAUCAGGAGGAACACCGAUGGCGAAGGCAGGUCUCUGGGCCACUACUGACGCUGAGAAGCGAAAGCGUGGGGAGCGAACAGG
rnacentral:rRNA from 1 species